GAUGAACGCUGGCGGCGUGCCUAAUACAUGCAAGUCGAGCGAGGCGGGGACGGGUAAGUAACACGUUGAUAACCGUCGAUAAGACUGGGAUAACGUAGGGAAACCGGAGCUAAACCGGAUACUAAUAGAUGGAUCCGGGCUGAAUUAGCUAGUUGGUAAGGUAACGGCGUACCAAGGCAACGAUGCGUAGCCGACCUGAGAGGGUGAGCGGCCACACUGGCACUGAGACACGGUCCAGACUCCUACGGGAGGCAGCAGUAGGGAAUCUUCCGCAAUGGGCGAAAGCCUGACGCAGCAAGGCCGCGUGGGUGAUGAAGGUCUUCGGAUCGUAAAACACUUUUAUUAGGGAAGCGGUACCUAAUCAGAAAGCCCCGGCUAACUACGUGCCAGCAGCCGCGGUAAUUC
rnacentral:rRNA from 1 species